rnacentral:rRNA from 1 species
AGAGUUUGAUCAUGGCUCAGAUUGAACGCUGGCGGCAGGCUUAACACAUGCAAGUCGAGCGGAAACGAAGGUAGCUUGCUACCAGACGUCGAGCGGCGGACGGGUGAGUAAUGCUUAGGAAUCUACCGAGUAGUGGGGGAUAGCCAUUGGAAACGAUGAUUAAUACCGCAUAUAUCCUACGGGGGAAAGCAGGGGACCUUCGGGCCUUGCGCUAUUCGAUGAGCCUGAGUGAGAUUAGCUAGUUGGUGGGGUAAAGGCCUACCAAGGCGACGAUCUCUAGCUGGUCUGAGAGGAUGAUCAGCCACACUGGGACUGAGACACGGCCCAGACUCCUACGGGAGGCAGCAGUGGGGAAUAUUGCACAAUGGACGAAAGUCUGAUGCAGCCAUGCCGCGUGUGUGAAGAAGGCCUUCGGGUUGUAAAGCACUUUCAGCGAGGAGGAAAGGUCAGUAAGUAAUAUUUGCUGGCUGUGACGUUACUCGCAGAAGAAGCACCGGCUAAUUUAGUGCCAGCAGCCGCGGUAAUACUAAAGGUGCAAGCGUUAAUCGGAAUUACUGGGCGUAAAGCGCGCGUAGGUGGUUUGUUAAGUUGGAUGUGAAAGCCCAGGGCUCAACCUUGGAACUGCAUUCAAAACUGACUCACUAGAGUACGAGAGAGGUUAGUGGAAUUUCCUGUGUAGCGGUGAAAUGCGUAGAGAUGGGAAGGAACACCAGUGGCGAAGCGACUGACU